rnacentral:rRNA from 1 species
CCUACGGGAGGCAGCAGUGGGGAAUAUUGCACAAUGGGGGAAACCCUGAUGCAGCGACGCCGCGUGAGUGAAGAAGUAUCUCGGUACGUAAAGCUCUAUCAGCAGGGAAGAAGAAAGACGGUACCUGACUAAGAAGCCCCGGCUAACUACGUGCCAGCAGCCGCGGUAAUACGUAGGGGGCAAGCGUUAUCCGGAUUUACUGGGUGUAAAGGGAGCGUAGACGGCUGUGCAAGUCUGAAGUGAAAGCCCAGGGCUCAACCCUGGGACUGCUUUGGAAACUGUGGAGCUAGAGUGCUGGAGAGGUAAGUGGAAUUCCUAGUGUAGCGGUGAAAUGCGUAGAUAUUAGGAGGAACACCAGUGGCGAAGGCGGCUUACUGGACAGUAACUGACGUUGAGGCUCGAAAGCGUGGGGAGCAAACAGGAUUAGAUACCCUGGUAGUC